CCUACGGGUGGCAGCAGUGAGGAAUAUUGGUCAAUGGGCGAGAGCCUGAACCAGCCAAGCCGCGUGAGGGAGUACUGCCCUAUGGGUUGUAAACCUCUUUUGUCGGGGAGCAAAAGCCGGACGUGUCCGGCUGUGAGCGUACCCGAAGAAAAAGCAGCGGCAAAAUCCGUGCCCGACGCCGCGGUAAUACGGGGGAUGCGAGCGUUAUCCGGUUUUACUGGGUUAAAGGGGUGCGCAGGCGGAGUUUUAAGUCAGCGGUAAAAUCGGGGGACUAAACCCCAUCCAGCCGGUGAAACUGGGGAUCUAGAGUGUGCGAGAGGUAGGCGGAAUGCGUGGUGUAGCGGUGAAAUGCGUAGAUAUCACGCAGAACCCCGGUUGCGAAGGCAGCAUACCGGUGCACAACUGACGCUCAGGCACGAAAGCGUGGGUAUCGAACAGGAUUAGAUACCCAUGUAGUC
rnacentral:rRNA from 1 species